rnacentral:rRNA from 1 species
UACGAGGGGGGCAAAUGUUGUUCGGAAUCACUGGGCGUAAAGGGAGCGUAGGCGGGUUUCUAAGUCAGGUGUUUAAUCCCGGGGCCCAACCCCGGACAGGCACUUGAAACUGGGAAUCUUGAAUAGUGGAGAGGUCAGUGGAAUUGGGGGUGUAGCGGUGGAAUGCGUAGAGAUCCCCAAGAACACCAGUUGCGAAGGCAGCCAGCUGGGACCAUAUUGACGCUGAGGCUCGAAAGCAUGGGGAGCAAACAGG